AAAAGACCUAGUAAUAGGUAUGCUUAGGGAGGAGCUUGCGUCACAUUAGUUAGUUGGUGGGGUAAAGGCCUACCAAGACUAUGAUGUGUAGCCGGGCUGAGAGGUUGAACGGCCACAUUGGGACUGAGACACGGCCCAAACUCCUACGGGAGGCAGCAGUAGGGAAUUUUCGGCAAUGGAGGAAACUCUGACCGAGCAACGCCGCGUGAACGAUGAAGUAUUUCGGUACGUAAAGUUCUUUUAUUAGGGAAGAAUAAAUGAUGGAAAAAUCAUUCUGACGGUACCUAAUGAAUAAGCCCCGGCUAACUAUGUGCCAGCAGCCGCGGUAAUACAUAGGGGGCAAGCGUUAUCCGGAAUUAUUGGGCGUAAAGGGUGCGUAGGCGGUUAAAUAAGUUUAUGGUCUAAGUGCAAUGCUCAACAUUGUGAUGCUAUAAAAACUGUUUAGCUAGAGUAAGAUAGAGGCAAGUGGAAUUCCAUGUGUAGUGGUAAAAUGCGUAAAUAUAUGGAGGAACACCAGUAGCGAAGGCGGCUUGCUGGGUCUUUACUGACGCUGAGGCACGAAAGCGUGGGGAGCAAACAGGAUUAGAUACCCUGGUAGUCCACGCCGUAAACGAUGAGUACUAAACGUUGGGUAAAACCAGUGUUGAAGUUAACACAUUAAGUACUCCGCCUGAGUAGUACGUACGCAAGUAUGAAACUUAAAGGAAUUGACGGGACUCCGCACAAGCGGUGGAUCAUGUUGUUUAAUUCGAAGGUACCCGAAAAACCUCACCAGGUCUUGACAUGCUUCUGCAAAGCUGUAGAAACACAGUGGAGGUUAUCAGUUGCACAGGUGGUGCAUGGUUGUCGUCAGCUCGUGUCGUGAGAUGUUGGGUUAAGUCCCGCAACGAGCGCAACCCUUAUUGUUAGUUACCAGCACGUAAUGGUGGGGACUUUAGCAAAGCUGCCAGUGAUAAAUUGGAGGAAGGUGGGGACGACGUCAAAUCAUCAUGCCCCUUAUGACCUGGGCUACAAACGUGAUACAAUGGCUGUUACAAAGGGUAGCUGAAGCGCAAGUUUUUGGCGAAUCUCAAAAAAACAGUCUCAGUUCGGAUUGAAGUCUGCAACUCGACUUCAUGAAGUUGGAAUCGCUAGUAAUCGCGAAUCCAGCAUGUCGCGGUGAAUACGUU
rnacentral:rRNA from 1 species